GGCCUAACACAUGCAAGUCGAGCGGUAGAGAGAAGCUUGCUUCUCUUGAGAGCGGCGGACGGGUGAGUAAUGCCUAGGAAUCUGCCUGGUAGUGGGGGAUAACGUUCGGAAACGGACGCUAAUACCGCAUACGUCCUACGGGAGAAAGCAGGGGACCUUCGGGCCUUGCGCUAUCAGAUGAGCCUAGGUCGGAUUAGCUAGUUGGUGAGGUAAUGGCUCACCAAGGCGACGAUCCGUAACUGGUCUGAGAGGAUGAUCAGUCACACUGGAACUGAGACACGGUCCAGACUCCUACGGGAGGCAGCAGUGGGGAAUAUUGGACAAUGGGCGAAAGCCUGAUCCAGCCAUGCCGCGUGUGUGAAGAAGGUCUUCGGAUUGUAAAGCACUUUAAGUUGGGAGGAAGGGUUGUAGAUUAAUACUCUGCAAUUUUGACGUUACCGACAGAAUAAGCACCGGCUAACUCUGU
rnacentral:rRNA from 1 species